rnacentral:tRNA from 1 species
GAACAUAUGGCUCAGUGGUAGAGUGCUUGCCUUGCCUGCAGGAGGCUGUGUGUUCG